AAUAAGAAUGAACACCAUAUUAAGAAUUCUACUAUUUACCUUCUAGUUGUGAGCCAGCUCCACAUUACAGAGAUUCAACUCAUCCCUUAGCCCCUUGCUGAACGACAACGAAUGCUGAAACUGCCUGCCUUGGACCCUUCUCCAGUGCUUUACUUGAAAAUUCCAUCUUUUGCACUAGUCACCAAAAAAAUGGAUUUUUUGAAAAUGUGCUGGGGAGACAUGAAGACGGGCAGAGAUGUGUGAAGAAACCAGUACAAUUGGAGGUACAACUGGAAAUGAGACAAGUUUACCUCUAAAAACAGAUCUGAUGGAAGACAACACAAGUAUUUAAUUUGAAGCUGCUUCAACAACAACAACAACAAACAACAGCAACAAAACAGCUUUUCUGAACAGGACUGCCUUCAACUGUCAGAUAACUCCAGUACCACUG
rnacentral:lncRNA from 1 species